UACGUAGGGUGCGAGCGUUGUCCGGAUUUAUUGGGCGUAAAGAGCUCGUAGGCGGUUUGUCGCGUCGGCCGUGAAAUCUCCACGCUUAACGUGGAGCGUGCGGUCGAUACGGGCAGACUUGAGUUCGGUAGGGGAGACUGGAAUUCCUGGUGUAGCGGUGAAAUGCGCAGAUAUCAGGAGGAACACCGGUGGCGAAGGCGGGUCUCUGGGGCCGAUACUGACGCUGGAGGAGCGAAAGCGUGGGGAGCAAACAGG
rnacentral:rRNA from 1 species